AUACGUAGGUGGCAAGCGUCAUCCGGAUUUACUGGGCGUAAAGGGAGCGUAGGCGGAUAUUUAAGUGGGAUGUGAAAUACCCGAGCUUAACUUGGGAGCUGCAUUCCAAACUGGAUAUCUAGAGUGCAGGAGAGGAGAAUGGAAUUCCUAGUGUAGCGGUGAAAUGCGUAGAGAUUAGGAAGAACACCAGUGGCGAAGGCGAUUCUCUGGACUGUAACUGACGCUGAGGCACGAAGGCGUGGGGAGC
rnacentral:rRNA from 1 species